rnacentral:lncRNA from 1 species
AUAGAAGGAUCACCCACACACUUUUUUACCAUUGCCAUAUGAAAAAUAGGAUGAAGAUAAGAUUGACUUAUGGGCAUAUCCAACUCAUAAGAAACAUUCCCAAUUCUUCUCAAAAUCUAAUAUGGACAAACAUAAAGGAGACUGAGCAUCCCAUUUUUUCUAAAACCUUAUCACUCUUUUCAUAGGACAAACCUUCAAAAACACCCAAUCACCC